rnacentral:tRNA from 1 species
GGGAUUGUAGCUCAGUGGUAGAGCAUGUGCCUAGUAUGUUCAAAGCACUGAUUUCAAUUUUCAGCACCA